rnacentral:rRNA from 1 species
AGAGUUUGAUCCUGGCUCAGAUUGAACGCUGGCGGCGUGCCUAACACAUGCAAGUCGAACGAUGAUAUGAGGGUUGGUUCCUGGAGUCGAGGGGCACGGGUGAGUAUAAUAUAUAUAAUGUACCUCUUAAUUGGGGAAUAACACUGCAAAAGUUGAUUUAUACCCGAUUAUCCUUUGCGGUAUAAAAGAAGGCAUGAAAAUAUCUUCCCUUUUAGAUCUGUCUAAGUCCUAUUUACCUAUUGGGGAGGUUAUGGGUCACCAAAGCUAACAAUCCUAUCUGGGUUGGAAAGAUGAUCCGACACCCUGGGGACUGAGACACGGCCCGACUCCUACGGGAGGCAGCAGUGAGGAAUUUUGCACAAUGGACGAAACUCUGAUGCAACAACGCCGCGUGAAUGAUGACGGAUUUCGGUGUGUAAACUCCUUUUGAAAAGGAAGAUAAUGACCGUACUUCUUGACUGUGUGCAUGAUAGCUCUGUGCCAACCGCCGCGGU